CCUACGGGCGGCAGCAGUGAGGAAUAUUGGUCAAUGGGCGCUAGCCUGAACCAGCCAAGUAGCGUGAAGGAUGACUGCCCUAUGGGUUGUAAACUUCUUUUAUAUGGGAAUAAAGUGCAGUAUGUAUACUGCUUUGCAUGUACCUUAUGAAUAAGGAUCGGCUAACUCCGUGCCAGCAGCCGCGGUAAUACGGAGGAUCCGAGCGUUAUCCGGAUUUAUUGGGUUUAAAGGGAGCGUAGGCGGGUUGUUAAGUCAGUUGUGAAAGUUUGCGGCUCAACCGUAAAAUUGCAGUUGAUACUGGCAUCCUUGAGUACAGUAGAGGUAGGCGGAAUUCGUGGUGUAGCGGUGAAAUGCUUAGAUAUCACGAAGAACUCCGAUUGCGAAGGCAGCCUGCUGGACUGUAACUGACGUUGAGGCACGAAAGCGUGGGUAGCAAACAGGAUUAGAUACCCCUGUAGUC
rnacentral:rRNA from 1 species